AGGGGAGCGGGGGGUGGUCCCGGCAGGUGGAGGAGCAGGACGGCCCGUGGUGCUGCGGGAAGUGGGGCAAAGCCUGGCUGCUUGGUGCCGUGCCCUGCACCCCGUGCCGUUUCGCAGGGACCUCCUGGAGAAGCCGGCUACGACGGGGUGGACGGGGAGCAGGGUGAAGCGGGGACCCCCGGGCACCCCGGAGAGAAGGGGACCCGCGGGAGGCAGGGACAGAAAGGCUCCCGGGGUGCCCGGGGGGAGAAGGGACCCCCAGGACCCCGCGGCGAGGUGG